UGGGGUAUAUUGCACAAUGGGGGAAACCCUGAUGCAGCGACGCCGCGUGAACGAAGAAGGUAUUCGUAUCGUAAAGUUCUGUCCUAUGGGAAGAUAAUGACAGUACCAUAGAAGAAAGCUCCGGCUAAAUACGUGCCAGCAGCCGCGGUAAUACGUAUGGAGCGAGCGUUGUCCGGAAUUAUUGGGCGUAAAGGGUACGCAGGCGGUUUAAUAAGUCGAAUGUUAAAGAUCGGGGCUCAACCCCGCAAAGCAUUGGAAACUGAUAAACUUGAGUAGUGGAGAGGAAAGUGGAAUUCCUAGUGUAGUGGUGAAAUACGUAGAUAUUAGGAGGAAUACCAGUAGCGAAGGCGACUUUCUCGACACAAACUGACGCUGAGGUACGAAAGCGUGGGGAGCAAACAGG
rnacentral:rRNA from 1 species